GUUAAACGAUAUUUCAUGCCACAGCUAAUGAGUAUAAUUGGUGUGCGAAACAUUCGUGUAUAUAGGACAAUGUUACACUUGGAAAUGCAGGAAAACAAUAUUCCUAUAAGUAGGAACGCGGACAAUCGCCAACCGGCUUGCAAUUGUGGCACUCUGUCGUGGCACAAUGGCUCACAAACUGUAAGUAUGCAGCAUUUCAUUGCAUUUUCGUUGAUCAUCGUGAUUACAUCAUUGUCUUACCUCAUACCACUACUGUUUAGGCCCUACACCUGGAUCCUCCAUUUUGUGAUUGGAGUUUGCAUUCAACAUUGUCUUACUUCAUCGUGAUUGCAUCACUGUCUUACCUCAUUCCACUACUGUUUGGGCCCUAUGCCUGGAUCCUCCAUUUUUAUUGGAUUUUGCAUUCAAUUCUUCUUUUCCUGAAAUUUGUAGUUGUGUUUGUAAUUACACCUACAAGAGGGGAACGUAGGGCGCCUCCUUGCGCAUGCCACGUUAGACUUCUAGAGUGGUAAGAGACGGAGUAAUGCAGUCGUGAUUGGGUGUAUGUUCUACUGUCCUGGAUAACGCCGCCCAAGGUAAAGUGAUGGAGGCCUUUUAUUCCCAAUUAUGCUAGGCCGCCCAAGGUAAAGUGAUGGAUAACGCCGCCCAAGGUAAAGUCCUGGACAAAUCCUAUGAAGGGCGCUUACAGACUGACUUGGCAUAGCUUUACUUGGAACUAGGGAAAAAGGGCCCACGCUGGACAGGCAGCAAAUUGAUUGAUUAGAGGAAAGUAGUCCAUAAAUUUCACGUGUAGCUAGGUUACUCGUAAGUGUACCAUUUUGUUUAGUACCUUACCCAUGAAGGAAACCUGGCAUGGACAGCACCGGCGAAGAUCGGAGUUGUGGAGCUAUCAGGGUUGCACCACGAAGGCGGCGAAAAAGUUCCUACUUGAUCAAAUGGCCUUUUGUUUGCGAUUUAACUAUAGCGAGCGUGUUGGAAACGAGCAUCAACGACGAGUGACUAGCCGGCGGGCAUGAGGGAAGGAGCGCGUGACGUGCGAAGUGGGGGGAGGUCAGUGGGCGGCCGCCAUGUUUUUGUUUUCAUGGUCUUCUUUUAGGAUGUGGACACGCAGGUGUGCAAGAGAGGAGGGGAAAGAAGCCAUCGUAUGGUUGCGCACGGGAUCCGAAGUGAUAAGCAAUGUAGGCUUGGGAGUCACCAAGACUAUCAUGCUACACUUUUGCACAAAAUCAUGUCGGUCAAUGAAAUUGUUUCGAAGAGGUGUUUUAGGGUACAUUUUACUACUGCCAACAAGUAGUCAUGAAUAAGAUCAAGAGUUCAUUCCAUUGGUAUUGUAGACAUUUGUGGGUGGUUUCUCUUGAUGGAUAUUAUCUUUACCAGAUGAAUCACCGGCAUUUCAAUCUCUAAUUUAUAUUUAUGAGUUCUAAUUAAUUAUAUAAAAGUACCAAUAUAAUAGUUUACCUUUGGCCUAUACAGGCCGGAAACAACGCAUACUCAGUCCAUGUGUCAAACCGAAUAACAUUAGUGGGGCCAAGCGUGCACUAGUAAAAACAUCGCUUUGGUCCAUGUGAGAAAAGAGCUUUAAUCCCGGUUCUGUUACGAACCGGGACCAAUGGGUGCAUCAGUCCCGGUUCGUGAGGCCGAGGCGCUGGCCUGGCCAGGGUCCCUGUUCGUCUGACCCCUUUGGAACGGUUCAAGACACGAACCGGGACCAAUGGUCCUCACUCCUGGUGCAACACCUUUAGUCCCGGUUCGUGU
rnacentral:lncRNA from 1 species